UUUAUUUUUUUAUUUUUGUUGGGACUGUCGGAUUGUAUUGAUUAGAUUCUGCACAAGAAGAAAGCUUUAUACCCAUUUCACUCGCAAGCUUCCGCUUUUCAGGUCAGGAAAUGUUCUUCCGUGAUUCUGAACAUUGAUUUAUUUGUAUGAUUAUCCAACACUGUCACUCAAAGGUUAGAUGAUAAAGUAUUUAACAGACAUCAUUAUACAGUUUUCAAUUUCAAUAUCUACGUCACUAUUUGAGCCUGGUAUCUGCUAAAUGCAUAUAUCCAACUAGUUUAGUGUUGUGUAAUAUAAUGUUCAUGAUGUUUAGUUUUCUUCCUUCCUAAGAAUUAAAGGCAUGUAUACAUUGUGAGUUCAAACAGAAACAGGGAAUAAUAUACACACAAUUCCAUUAAACAUUAAAGCUUCAUAAUGAACAGUAUCUUCCAGAAUAUUAGGGUAAUAGCGUAAUACAAACAAGAGCGAUACGAUGAGUAAUACAAUAUUUGGUUUUAGGCAUGAGGUGUUGGGACUUGUUCUGAAGGCCUCACUAUGACCUUCGAUUGUAUUCAUACAUUUUGGAAAUGAUUGUAACCAUAUAGAAUACUGCUAUCUGAUUAUUACUAAUAUGUCUUUGAGACUCCAGCAACCGUGUAGCAGCAGGUGCUAUGAAACUCUGCUUCCAGAUUAUUGACCAUGCAACAGUUGCGUUGCCCGUAGUGGUCUUUUAGGCUAGAACUGUGACUUUGGUCUGAAAGAUAUGCUUUACGGAUUGAAAGGAGAUGCAUCCUGGAAAAUGAAAGAAUCCUUUAAAUUGCUGCCAGCUUCAAACUGUUGUCUGUUUCAAGGACUUUCAGUUUCUUCUGGGGCAGUAAAUAGCAAUAUAAUGCCUCUGCAGCUUCACUGACCUAUAAACAAAUUCCAGAUUUAGUUAAGGAAUGCAGCAAAUAGCGUCAAAGCUUUAGUUCGGAUUCUUCUAGGAGCACCUCCCAUGUUUGACUCCAUGACUGGAUAUUGGAUGAUAUUGAUGUUUUGAAUAUGUCCUUUGAUCUUAAGGACAUACUAAUUGCAGGCUAAUUGUUUGAGGAACGACUAUUGGUGGUCCUGAGGAUUCACUACUGGGAUCUGAAGAAAUGGAUGUGGAUAGGUAUGUCCUUUGAUUUUAGGACAUUUGAAAACUAUGGAUAUGAGGAACAGAUAUCGAUACUUAGGUUGACACGAUGUUUGAUCAGAGGAAGGAAUAUUGGUACUUCUGUUGACUAGACAAUCUGAGGAAUGAAUUUAGGUAGUAGUGUUGACAGAGGAAGCUCCACCUCCAAGGAACUGCUUAUGAGAAGAGACAUCCUUAUAUGCCUGGACUCGUCACAUCCAGAGAAGGGUAGACUUCCAGAUGGCAUUUGAACCAUAUGCAUUCGCCGGUCGCUCUUUCAACCAAAAGUUCACUAGGGGAUGCUGUGACACCAGCAAUGCCUCCCCCACUCCCAAAAGAAAAAGAAAAGAAAAACAGGUACAAAAUAAUUGCUGCUGUCCUAAGUUGUAACUGAAUGCCAAAACGAUUAAGAAGUUUCCAAAGUCUCCAGUACAAGAAAUGCGGAAUAGCUGCGAUUGUAUGCCAAUCUACACAGCUGAGCAGUUCAUAUAACUUGGAGAUCUUUGAAUCAUUUGUAGGAGAAUAUCAUUGACUGUAAUAAUGUGAGUUAGAGACGCAUUAUUACUGAGGCGUCCUUUUGAUAUUCUCCUAUAAAUAAAGGUUGAUUAGCUACAUUGGAGCGUUGCUCCAGUGGCUAAUGCAGAAUAAUCGUUUACCGAUCCAUCUACUACUUCGGUGUUUCCGUCACUGGUUACUCCUUUUCCACCAUCAAUAACUGUAUGUGAGAACUUUGCGGCAGAAUAGUCCAUACCUUCGUAUAAGAAUGGCAAAUCAUCCCACUCAAUAAAAUUAUUGUCAUGGGGAAAAUCUCCCGGUCCUCCGUUUAUUGAUGGUAGUGUAUAAUCGUAAUCCUUCGGCAGAAAUGAAUCAAAGUCUGAUCCCAGAUUUGCUCCUUGUUGAGAAUAUCUCUGAAUUAACAAUUAUAGAAAGAAAGAGUUAAGUUUGGAUACACUUCUUUUGCUGCAGCAUAUUUAGAAGUUCAGAUAAAAAGGUUUUAAAAGAGCAUGUUUAUUCCCACCUCUUGAAUCAUAUUGAUAUUUGCAGCUUGAUUUUCCGAACUGGAUGCGGUCUUGCUAACUAAUUCGUCAUCGUCAUUGGUUGAAAUAUUAUUCUUCUUCACAAGAGAAGGCUCAUUGUCCUCAAAUGGAUAUGCCCUCUUACGACAUUCAUCAUUAUGGUCAUUGGUGGUAUACAUUGGUGGCUGAUGCAGCUGAUGCAGUUGAGGUGGUGCAGGCGUAUCAAAGAGUGAAUCCAGAUUUUCUGGGUCAUCUAGUAGCUGUUUGAUCACAAACAAGAAAGUGUCAGACAAAUUGGUCUUUAAAGGUCGGCCUUCAACAGAGGUCGAAAGAUCAUUCUUAUCUAUAUGACAAGGAUCAGUUUGCGUGCCUUGGAAUUCAUGAGGAUUGCCAAUAGGACUCUGAAGAGCAUUUUCCAGCUCCUUUAAAGCCAGCUUGAUUUUCAACAUUGGAGGCCAUACUGCAGCUAGUGCUACCUCGAUCGAAGAAUGGGGCAUCCUUAUCAUGAUCAGAGUUGUCUGACUUAUACUUCAAGCAACAGACAACAAAGUCCCCUAUCUGCUUAGGAGGAUUAGAAUGUGCCUCAAUGAGAUAAAACUCAUGAAUGACCCAGCCAGUCUUCUGGGGUUUCGGCACUCCACGUUUGUAGAAGGUUAAGGUCCUCUUUCUCCCAAUCACAGCUUUGGAGCCAGGGGCCUUGAUGUCGCGGUCCUUGCCUGUGAUCUUCCAGAACCCUUCCCCUGUAGUCCUGUUGGAGCGU